UACGAAGGGGGCUAGCGUUGCUCGGAAUUACUGGGCGUAAAGGGAGCGUAGGCGGACAUUUAAGUCAGGGGUGAAAUCCCAGAGCUCAACUCUGGAACUGCCUUUGAUACUGGAUGUCUUGAGUAUGAGAGAGGUAUGUGGAACUCCGAGUGUAGAGGUGAAAUUCGUAGAUAUUCGGAAGAACACCAGUGGCGAAGGCGACAUACUGGCUCAUUACUGACGCUGAGGCUCGAAAGCGUGGGGAGCAAACAGG
rnacentral:rRNA from 1 species